rnacentral:rRNA from 1 species
CGCGGGGCGGGUGCUAUAAUGCAGUCGAGCGGACAGAAGGGAGCUUGCUCCCGGAUGUUAGCGGCGGACGGGUGAGUAACACGUGGGUAACCUGCCUGUAAGACUGGGAUAACUCCGGGAAACCGGAGCUAAUACCGGAUAGUUCCUUGAACCGCAUGGUUCAAGGAUGAAAGACGGUUUCGGCUGUCACUUACAGAUGGACCCGCGGCGCAUUAGCUAGUUGGUGAGGUAACGGCUCACCAAGGCGACGAUGCGUAGCCGACCUGAGAGGGUGAUCGGCCACACUGGGACUGAGACACGGCCCAGACUCCUACGGGAGGCAGCAGUAGGGAAUCUUCCGCAAUGGACGAAAGUCUGACGGAGCAACGCCGCGUGAGUGAUGAAGGUUUUCGGAUCGUAAAGCUCUGUUGUUAGGGAAGAACAAGUGCAAGAGUAACUGCUUGCACCUUGACGGUACCUAACCAGAAAGCCACGGCUAACUACGUGCCAGCAGCCGCGGUAAUACGUAGGUGGCAAGCGUUGUCCGGAAUUAUUGGGCGUAAAGGGCUCGCAGGCGGUUUCUUAAGUCUGAUGUGAAAGCCCCCGGCUCAACCGGGGAGGGUCAUUGGAAACUGGGAAACUUGAGUGCAGAAGAGGAGAGUGGAAUUCCACGUGUAGCGGUGAAAUGCGUAGAGAUGUGGAGGAACACCAGUGGCGAAGGCGACUCUCUGGUCUGUAACUGACGCUGAGGAGCGAAAGCGUGGGGAGCGAACAGGAUUAGAUACCCUGGUAGUCCACGCCGUAAACGAUGAGUGCUAAGUGUUAGGGGGUUUCCGCCCCUUAGUGCUGCAGCUAACGCAUUAAGCACUCCGCCUGGGGAGUACGGUCGCAGGACUGAAACUCAAGGAAUUGACGGGGGCCCGCACAAGCGGUGGAGCUGUGGUUUAAUUCGAAUCACGUGAAGAACCUUACCAGUCUUGACUUCCUCUGACAACUCUAGAGAUAGGGCUUUCCCUUUCGGGGACAGAGUGACAGGGUGGUGCAUGGUG